rnacentral:lncRNA from 1 species
UCCCAAUCCCCUAGGAAUAUGAGAGUAAGAGGAUUGUUGCAUUCCACUCCCAAAGUCACUGUUCAUGUGGGAAGAAUGUUGCAUUCCACUCGCAUAGCCACCAUUCAUGUGGGAGCUAGAAUGCUGCAUUCCAGUCCCAUAGGCACCAUUCAUGUGGGAACUAGAAUGAUGCAUUCCACUCGCAUAGCCACCAUUCAUGCGGGAGCUAGAGUGCUGCAUUCCGCUCCCAUAGCCACCAUCGAUGUGGGAACUAGAGUGCUGCAUUCCACUCCCAUAGUCACUAUUAUCGCUGGAAAAGUUUGAGGAAUCAUGGGACAUGUGCCCAUAUUGGCCAUGGCUAUUGUGGUGACCAUAGCCCGUUUGGUACUUGUCCUUGUUGUACCAGCUAUCAUCGUCAUGGCUAUAGCCGCCUUGGCUCAUCAUC